rnacentral:rRNA from 1 species
CCCUUAGACGUUCUGGGCCGCACGCGCGCUACACUGACCAGUGCAACAAGCAUCCGUCCUUGGCCGACAGGCUCGGGCAAUCUUUGAACGCUGGUCGUGAUGGGGAUAGACUUUUGCAAUUUUUGGUCUUCAACGAGGAAUUCCUAGUAAACGCAAGUCAUCAACUUGCAUUGAUUACGUCCCUGCCCUUUGUACACACCGCCCGUCGCACCUACCGAUUGAGUGAUCCGGUGAAUAAUUCGGACUGCAGCAGUGUUCAGUUCCUGAACGUUGCAGCGGAAAGUUUAGUGAACCUUAUCACUUAGAGGAAGGAGAAGUCGUAACA